rnacentral:rRNA from 1 species
CCUACGGGAGGCAGCAGUGGGGAAUAUUGCACAAUGGGGGAAACCCUGAUGCAGCGACGCCGCGUGAGUGAAGAAGGAAUUCGUUAUGUAAAGCUCUAUCAGCAGGGAAGAAAAUGACGGUACCUGUGUAAGAAGCCCCGGCUAACUACGUCCCAGCAGCCGCCGUAAUACGUAGGGGGCAAGCGUUAUCCGGAUUUACUGGGUGUAAAGGGAGCGUAGACGGCAGUGCAAGUCUGGAGUGAAAGGCGGGGGCUCAACCCCCGGACUGCUCUGGAAACUGUACGGCUGGAGUGCAGGAGAGGUAAGUGGAAUUCCUAGGGUAGCGGUGAAAUGCGUAGAUAUUAGGAGGAACACCAGUGGCGAAGGCGGCUUACUGGACUGUAACUGACGUUGAGGCUCGAAAGCGUGGGGAGCAAACAGGAUUAGAUACCCCUGUAGUC